rnacentral:rRNA from 1 species
ACGGGAGGCAGCAGUGGGGAAUAUUGGGCAGUGGACGAAAGUCUGACCCAGCGACGCCGCGUGAAGGAAGAAGAUCCUCGGAUUGUAAACUUCAGUCAACAGGGAAGAAAGCAAUGACGGUACCUGUGGAGGAAGCCACGGCUAACUACGUGCCAGCAGCCGCGGUAAUACGUAGGUGGCGAGCGUUAUCCGGAUUUACUGGGUGUAAAGGGUGUGUAGGCGGGAAUGCAAGUCAGAUGUGAAAAUUAUGGGCUUAACUCAUAACCUGCAUUUGAAACUGUAUUUCUUGAGAGUCGGAGAGGUAGAUGGAAUUCCUAGUGUAGCGGUGAAAUGCGUAGAUAUUAGGAGGAACACCAGUGGCGAAGGCGAUCUACUGGACGAUAACUGACGCUGAGGCGCGAAAGCGUGGGGAGCAAACAGGAUUAGAUACCCUGGUA